CCUGGUGGCUCAGAGGUUAAAGCAUCUGCCUGCAAGGUGGGAGACCCAGGUUCAAUCCCUGGGUCAGGA
rnacentral:tRNA from 1 species